rnacentral:tRNA from 1 species
GCCUGGGUGGCGAAAUUGGUAGACGCAGCGGAUUCAAAAUCCGCCGGGCUAAUCCCCCGUGACGGUUCGAGUCCGUCCCCAGGCACCA